GAAAUUAAAACAUCACAUGCUGACAUGAGUUUCGGUAUAAAAUCGAGGAUAGAAAAAAGAAAAAUAAUAAAACGCGGGAUAGCAGACACACUCCAUGAGAUGCGGCACCUAGUCUCCCUCCGUCACAACUCCACCAUGCCCUCGCGCUCUCUCUCUGGUUGAUCAUCCCUGAUGCUUGCUCAUGCAACCACUCACCUCAAGUGUGAGAUACUUAGAGUUUCAAGCUUCCAUCAUUUCCCAACUGCCCAUUUGUUUAUUGAUAGGACAUUGAGCUCGAGUCGUGUGCCAGCUUUUACAAUCACAAGUCAUCUUAACAGACCUAGUUAUAGAUUCAGAAUGAUGUCAUCUCAAGUUAUGGAACAAAUGCAAAGCAAUGUGGUUGUCAAAGAGCACUCAGAGGACCUACCUCUUACAUCGUCUUAUGAAUCUGCCAUGGAAGCACUUUCCUCUCUCAUUAUAAGUAAAAGACGUGGAGAUGGAUCAUCUGUUGGUGGUAAAUAUGAAAAAUUGGAGAGGAUGACAAUGUAUCUCAAGAUACUAGACUUGGAGAAAGACAUAGGAGGACUCAGAAUUAUUCAUGUAGCUGGAACCAAGGGAAAGGGUUCAACAUGCACAUUCUGUGAAGCUAUUUUACGGCAGUGUGGUUUUCGGACAGGACUGUUCACUUCUCCUCACCUGAUUGAUGUGAGAGAAAGAUUUCGUAUAAAUGGGUUGGAGAUAAGUGAAGAUAAGUUUCUGCAGUACUUUUGGAAUUGUUGGUAUCAACUAGAGGAAAAGAUUACGGAAGACUUGCCAAUGCCUCCAUUUUUUCAGUUCCUCAUUUUGUUGGCUUUCAAAGUUUUUAUUUGUGAACAGGUUGAUGUUGUGAUUGUUGAAGUUGGUCUUGGGGGAAAAAGAGAUUCAACAAAUGUGAUCAAAGAACCUAUUGUUUGUGGCAUUACUUCUUUGGGAAUGGACCACAUGGAGGCAUUGGGAAAUACUCUUGGGCAGAUAGCUUUCCACAAAGCUGGAAUAUUGAAGCCUCAUGUUCCUGCGUUCGUGGCACCCCAACUUUCUGAAGCAAUGGAUGUUAUCCAGGAGGUGGCUCGUGGACUUAUGGUUCCAUUGGAGGUAGUGGCACCACUUGACUGUAAACAGAUGGAUGGGAAACUCAGCUUGGCUGGUGACCACCAGUUCAUUAAUGCUGGUCUUGCUGUUUCCCUUUCUAAAUGUUGGCUUCAAAGAACAGGAAAUUGGGAAAAACUAUUUGGAAGGCAAGAUAUAUUGGAAGAUAAAUUACCAGAGGCAUUUUGUAGGGGCCUUUCAACUGCAUAUCUUUCUGGGAGAGCUGAAAUUGUUUAUGAUACUUCCUCGAAGUCUUUCAGUUCAUCAAAAGUGUCUGAAUGUUCUAGUGGAGAUCUGGUUUUCUAUUUGGACGGAGCUCAUAGUCCUGAGAGCAUGGAGGUUUGUGGUAGAUGGUUUUCUACUGCCAUCAAGGCAAACGAGAAAACAUCAUCUUGUUCUAGAGUUAAAGAUAGGGAGCAGGUUUGGAGUAAUGGUCACGUCCAGCAUGGAACAGAGGAAAUGGUGGAGUCUACAACAAUAUCAAAGCAGAUUCUUUUAUUCAAUUGCAUGGAGGUUAGAGACCCUCAAGUAUUGCUUCCACGGCUUGUAAGUACAUGUGCUUCUUCAGGUAGUCAUUUCUCGAAGGCCCUUUUUGUCCCAGGUAUGUCAACUCAUAACAAAGUUACUUCCGCUGCCUCAGCCAUUCCUGCAGAUUCCUUUAGUAGGGACCUGGCUUGGCAAUUCGACCUCCAGAGACUUUGGGAGAAGUUGAUGCAUGGGAAGGUGUUUCUUGUUCACAUGCAGAAGUGGAUGAUGUUAUUGACAUGGAAUCAAAGAUGGAUGCUGCAGCAAUUCUACCUCAUGAGUUCCUUUAUGAGGAUGCUUCUAAUUGCAGUCCUGUAGGCAAUCAUUUUACUUGCAGUGCAGUAAUCCCUUCACUGCCUUUAGCAAUAAAUUGGCUCAGAGAUUGUGUGAAAGCAAAUCCUGCUGUUCGAAUCCAGGUUCUUGUAACUGGGUCACUGCAUUUGGUCGGGGAUGUACUGAAGCUGUUGAGGAAGUGAUACAUACAUACAACUAUACUGUCCUUGUCCAAAAAAGAAAAGAAAAAGAAAAUACAACUACACUGUCAAUAUGUCUUUAUCAAAACAUUCUUGAACUUUGUUUGACUUGAUUCGUUUACGGUUUUACCCACGUUGUUGAAGGAGCAAGGCUCAUCAUUCACUUCAACCCAGUAUGCCUAUGUGUCAUAUUUCUUUUCUUGUAAUAUUAGAAAAAGGAAGAAAGAAAAAAAAAUAAUAAAGAUUUGUUCA